CCGGUACUCCGAAUGCAUCUAGAUUUUAGUUUGAUCAUGGCUCAGGACGAACGCUGGCGGCGUGCCUAAUACAUGCAAGUCGAGCGGUCCCUUCGGGGAUAGCCGGCGGACGGGUGAGUAACACGUAGGCAACCUGCCUGUAAGACUGGGAUAACUAUCGGAAACCGAUAGCUAAGACCGGAUAGCUGGUUCUCUCGCAUGAGAGGAUCAUGAAACACGGGGUAACCUGUGGCUUACAGAUGGGCCUGCGGCGCAUUAGCUAGUUGGUAGGGUAACGGCCUACCAAGGCGACAGAUAGCGUAGCCGACCUGAGAGGGUGAUCGGCCACACUGGGACUGAGACACGGCCCAGACUCCUACGGGAGGCAGCAGUAGGGAAUCUUCCGCAAUGGACGCAAAUCUGACGGAGCAACGCCGCGU
rnacentral:rRNA from 1 species